rnacentral:misc_RNA from 1 species
UCUGGAGACCAAGAAAGGUGAGGUUUC